GACGAACGCUGGCGGCGUGCUUAACACAUGCAAGUCGAGCGGUAAGGCCCUUUCGGGGGUACACGAGCGGCGAACGGGUGAGUAACACGUGGGUGACCUGCCCUCAGCUCUGGGAUAAGCCUGGGAAACCGGGUCUAAUACCGGAUAUGACUCCAUGACGCAUGUUGUGGGGUGGAAAGCCUUGUGCGGCUGGAGGGUGGGCCCGCGGCCUAUCAGCUUGUUGGUGGGGUGANGGCCUACCAAGGCGACGACGGGUAGCCGGCCUGAGAGGGCGACCGGCCACACUGGGACUGAGACACGGCCCAGACUCCUACGGGAGGCAGCAGUGGGGAAUCUUGCGCAAUGGACGAAAGUCUGACGCAGCGACGCCGCGUGUGGGAUGACGGUCUUCGGAUUGUAAACC
rnacentral:rRNA from 1 species